CCUACGGGGGGCUGUAGUGGGGAAUAUUGGACAAUGGGGGCAACCCUGAUCCAGCCAUGCCGCGUGUGUGAAGAAGGCCCUCGGGUUGUAAAGCACUUUCAGUGAGGAAGAACGCCUGGUGGUUAAUACCCAUCAGGAAAGACAUCACUCACAGAAGAAGCACCGGCUAACUCCGUGCCAGCAGCCGCGGUAAUACGGAGGGUGCGAGCGUUAAUCGGAAUUACUGGGCGUAAAGCGCGCGUAGGUGGCUUGAUAAGCCGGUUGUGAAAGCCCCGGGCUCAACCUGGGAACGGCAUCCGGAACUGUCAAGCUAGAGUGCAGGAGAGGAAGGUAGAAUUCCCGGUGUAGCGGUGAAAUGCGUAGAGAUCGGGAGGAAUACCAGUGGCGAAGGCGGCCUUCUGGACUGACACUGACACUGAGGUGCGAAAGCGUGGGUAGCAAACAGGAUUAGAUACCCGUGUAGUC
rnacentral:rRNA from 1 species